rnacentral:misc_RNA from 1 species
GUGAAUCAUCAAAUUUUUGAACGCAAAUUGCACUCUCCUCGGAGAGUAUGCCUGUUUGAGGGUCAGCCUAAAAAAAAUCGACGUAGUCGCUGUUUCGCGGUGACAUUCGUCGGAAAUUGGGUCAUCUUAAACCUUUGGGUUUUUUAAGCGGCUUAAAAUUUUCUUUACGAUUUUAAGAUUGUUUCUAUGAUUUUACUUAUAACUUAAGUUUAUGGA